UGGGGAAUCUUGGACAAUGGGGGCAACCCUGAUCCAGCCAUGCCGCGUGAGUGAUGAAGGCCCUAGGGUCGUAAAGCUCUUUCGCCAGGGAUGAUAAUGACAGUACCUGGUAAAGAAACCCCGGCUAACUCCGUGCCAGCAGCCGCGGUAAUACGGAGGGGGUUAGCGUUGUUCGGAAUUACUGGGCGUAAAGCGCGCGUAGGCGGACUGGAAAGUUGGGGGUGAAAUCCCAGGGCUCAACCCUGGAACUGCCUCCAAAACUAUCAGUCUAGAGUUCGAGAGAGGUGAGUGGAAUUCCGAGUGUAGAGGUGAAAUUCGUAGAUAUUCGGAGGAACACCAGUGGCGAAGGCGGCUCACUGGCUCGAUACUGACGCUGAGGUGCGAAAGUGUGGGGAGCAAACAGG
rnacentral:rRNA from 1 species